rnacentral:rRNA from 1 species
GUGGGGAAUAUUGGACAAUGGGGGGAACCCUGAUCCAGCCAUGCCGCGUGUGUGAAGAAGGCCUUUUGGUUGUAAAGCACUUUAAGCGAGGAGGAGGCUACCGAGAUUAAUACUAUUGGAUAGUGGACGUUACUCGCAGAAUAAGCACCGGCUAACUCUGUGCCAGCAGCCGCGGUAAUACAGAGGGUGCAAGCGUUAAUCGGAUUUACUGGGCGUAAAGCGCGCGUAGGUGGCCAAUUAAGUCAAAUGUGAAAUCCCCGAGCUUAACUUGGGAAUUGCAUUCGAUACUGGUUGGCUAGAGUAUGGGAGAGGAUGGUAGAAUUCCAGGUGUAGCGGUGAAAUGCGUAGAGAUCUGGAGGAAUACCGAUGGCGAAGGCAGCCAUCUGGCCUAAUACUGACACUGAGGUGCGAAAGCAUGGGGAGCAAACAGGAUUAGAUACCCUGGUAGUCC